AACCGCUGUAUACGAGACCCGUAAGUACAGUGGUGUGAGAGGUUCUCCCCGUCGGCUUAGCUGGCGGGGCAGCCUACUCGAU
rnacentral:misc_RNA from 1 species